AACGCGAAGAACCUUACCUGGGCUCGAAAUGCAGGAGACCGGGGUAGAAAUAUCCCUUUCUCGCAAGGGCCGCUAUAUAGGUGCUGCAUGGCUGUCGUCAGCUCGUGUCGUGAGAUGUUGGGUUAAGUCCCGCAACGAGCGCAACCCUUAUCUCCAGUUGCUACCAUUUAGUUGAGCACUCUGGCGAAACCGCCUCGGAUAACGGGGAGGAAGGUGGGAUGACGUCAAGUCCUCAUGGCCUUUAUGUCCAGGGCUACACACGUGCUACAAUGGCCGGUACAAACCGUCGCAAACCCGCGAGGGGAGCUAAUCGGAAAAGACCGGCCUCAGUUCGGAUCGCAGUCUGCAACUCGACUGCGUGAAGCUGGAAUCGCUAGUAAUCGCGGAUCAGAACGCCGCGGUGAAUACGUUCCCGGGCCUGUACACACCGACUGUAC
rnacentral:rRNA from 1 species